ACUUUCAGCAAUGGAUCUCUUGGUUCUCGCAUCGAUGAAGAACGCAGUGAAAUGCGAUAACUGGUGUGAAUUGCAUCCAAGUAACUCUAAUUUACGAAUAACACCAAGUGAAUCAUCGAGUCUUUGAACGCAAUUGCGCCCUCUCGGUUGCUUCCAA
rnacentral:rRNA from 1 species